CUCAGUUCUUACAAGCAGCUAUUCCUGUCACAGGAAUGUAACCAAGGGUGAACAUGAAAAAGCAAAGAGGCUGCUCCCCGUUUGGUCAUCAGUGAAGAGGAAUUCUACCAAAUUCACAAAAGAGGCCUAGGUGACCUGGCCUUUGGCAGCCUGAAACCAACACAUCGUUUCUUGAACAUGAAUACCUAUAACAAAAAAUACAACCCACAAAUUCACAGAUGAAAAUAUCAAUUGCUGACUCUCCAUGUUUAUUCUAUUAACGGGAUAGAAAGAAAUAGAGGUAUCUCAACUACUGUGGAACAACAAGUAAAAACUUCACUUCAUGGACUGCAUGGAAACAAUCUUUUUCAAAAGAAUUUGAAAACUUUUGCUUGAAAACCAGAACACAAAGUCGUGGAGCCCAUGGAAUGCAACACAUCACAAAACUGAGAAGUGCAGAAGACAAUUGGAUAUCUUUUGGGUCAAUUGAUUGAUAAGUGAGACCGCUGAACUAUCUUAAU